GUUUGAUCCUGGCUCAGAGUGAACGCUGGCGGCAGGCCUAACACAUGCAAGUCGAACGGCAGCACAGGAGAGCUUGCUCUCUGGGUGGCGAGUGGCGGACGGGUGAGGAAUACAUCGGAAUCUACCUUGUCGUGGGGGAUAACGUAGGGAAACUUACGCUAAUACCGCAUACGACCUACGGGUGAAAGCAGGGGACCUUCGGGCCUUGCGCGAUUGGAUGAGCCGAUGUCGGAUUAGCUAGUUGGCGGGGUAAAGGCCCACCAAGGCGACGAUCCGUAGCUGGUCUGAGAGGAUGAUCAGCCACACUGGAACUGAGACACGGUCCAGACUCCUACGGGAGGCAGCAGUGGGGAAUAUUGGACAAUGGGCGCAAGCCUGAUCCAGCCAUGCCGCGUGGGUGAAGAAGGCCUUCGGGUUGUAAAGCCCUUUUGUUGGGAAAGAAAAGCAGCCGGCCAAUACCCGGUUGUUCUGACGGUACCCAAAGAAUAAGCACCGGCUAACUUC
rnacentral:rRNA from 1 species